AUGGGAGCCGCACGGCGCGGAUCCCCCACACGCUCCAUUCAAGAAUCUCAAGUAUUCAAGAUGGACGGAAGGGAAUGCGGAGAGGAGAAGCGGGAGCUGCUGCUUUGAGCGCCUUCCACUUCCAUGCCCGGGGGAAAGGGGGAGGAAACUCCCCGCAAGUUUCCACCUCUGCCACUGGGGGAGGCGAGAGACGAGGAGAAGCCCGAGAGCUGCUGAAAGGGUGGACCUUCUGAAACACCUUCUAGAAACACCAAACUGGAUGUUCCUGCUGAAUGAAGACCAGAGAGGACGGUUGAAAUUAUUUGGGCACUACAGCAGCCCAGAGGGCACCCCAAAGAAAGCAAACUGAUAAAGAGUUAAAAUGAAUCCCCCUUGUCUUGGGCGAGGUGAGAAGGUGGUUCUCUUGUUUCCGCAUAGGAAUUUGGAGAGAGGGAAAGAGUGUGCGAAGAGCCUCCUGAGGCACUGGGCAUGGCCCCUGUCCAAGGCUCUUUUCACAUUGUGCUACUGUCUGAGCCCAACACAAGCAGUGCAAUGUAAAAAGGGCAUUGGGUGGGUGGCCACAGCAGCAUGAAGCCUCUAUACGUCCAUUGCUGGCAAUAUUCAGGGCUCUGUGAGGCAAAAGGAAGGUGUAACUGAGAAAACUGAUAGUGCCCAGCAGCGGCAAAACAUAGCUCCUGUGACAGCUGAAGUGCUCCCAUCCACCCCAAAUAUAUAUGGGGCUGUUCACAGCCAACAUGGUUUGGCAUCCGAGUGGAAGCUGAAGGGUUGUUGCUUUCUUGCAAAUCACCUUUGACUGUUCUCUUUCCGAGCCGUUACAGCAGCCUAUUGCCUAAUAAAUGUUACCGCUUCUUUAA